rnacentral:rRNA from 1 species
AACGAACGCUGGCGGCAUGCCUAACACAUGCAAGUCGAACGAGACCUUCGGGUCUAGUGGCGCACGGGUGCGUCACGCGUGGGAACCUGCCCUUAGGUUCGGACUAACUCCCCGACAGGGGUGAUAAUACCGGAUAAUGUCUUCGGCCCAAAGAUUUAUCGCCUUUGGAUGUGCCCGCGUUGGAUUAGCUAGUUGGUAGGGUAAAAGCCUACCACGGCGACGAUCCAUAGCUGGUCUGAGAGGAUGAUCAGCCACACUGGGACUGAGACACGGCCCAGACUCCUACGGGAGGCAGCAGUGGGGAAUAUUGGACAAUGGGCGAAAGCAUGAUCCAGCAAUGCCGCGUGAGUGAUGAAGGCCUUAGGGUUGUAAAGCGCUUUUAACCGGGAUGAUAAUGACAGUACCGGGAGAAUAAGCUCCGGCUAACUCCGUG